CAAAACCGCACUGGACAGUGUUAAACAGUGCGAGAUCAGGUUUUACAUCGGUUCUUUUUGAAAGAUAUAAAUGUAAAAUAAAGAAGUCAACAAUGGAAAUGCACUACAAGUAAAAUGUUUGUUUUAUCUCCAAAAGUCCAAGAAACCCAAGGACAGCCAAGAGGUAGAUGAAGAAAUGUAAGUCAAUCCUAUGGAUCUGGUCCGUGUGUCCUCUCCUCUCCUCACCCCAUCCUAAGAUCCAGAAGAUCUUCUGGAGGAAAUCUCAAGAAAAUCAUCCCAAAAGGAAGUCUCAGAUACUGCCUGUCUUCCUCUGUCCAGACAUGAAGAUGCAUCUUUCUGAUGGAGCCUGGAGUCGUUUGACUGGAUUCACUGCCCUAUCCUGGGAGAUUUGCUAAAGAAACGGCUUUUCUGACCUCUGCUCAAAAGAGGACAGGGAGUAUGAUGUUUUGACGCUCAGUGGAGCUUGAGGAACAUCUCCUGUUUAGAUUUACAGCAUUUGAGUUCUUAAAAUCAAACUCUGUCACGGACUGAAAAGCCUCGAGUUCUGGAGUCUAACUGGAUGUCACUCGUCAAUAUCUGGUAUAACUUCACACCAGAACCAAAACAUCUGUGAUAUUUCACUUUUCUAUUUCAGUGUGACUGCAUAAGAUGGUCAUUAUGUAUGUCUGAUCAUUUAAAAUGGAUGCUUGGUGCUUUUAAAUACUGUAAGCCGGGUGUUUGGAAUGUGUCAUCAGUGCCACUUGACAGAGUUUAUUAUGAUUAUUUCCACCUGAAAUGUUUGUAUUGCUUUAGUUCAUGUGUCACAGUGUGACAGAUCAUCAGGUGACACUGGUUCUUCUGUGUGAUUGGAUGGUUAUAAAUUAGUCUUUCAGAAUCUGCUCCUGUUUUUCUAACUACUGCAGUGUUAAAGUCAACAUGAAAUCAUAAUAGGUUUUAUUUUGAGUGCAAAAAUAAAAUCCUUUUUUUCCCUCAAUAAAUUGUUUGUUUCAUUCAGAAAUAUGUCACAUUAUACUGACAGAUAGCACACUAUAUUAUACCAGAUGAAUAUUUGACAAAAAUGCAGUUUGAAAUAUACUUUAUAUGUCCCACGUUAUACAAUUAAACAGAAUUUUAUCACUAUUUUAUCUUUGAGAAUUGAUAAAUGUCACUAAGUCCCAAACUUAGUGAAGGAAUCUGAGUUUUAAAUAAAGAUGACAUGAUCAUAAAUGGUGUCAGAAAGAAAUGACCAUUUAUUUGCUGUUUUCAUAUCCAUAAGAUCUUGCAUGUUACUGUUAAAGAUGUGGAACUCAAAUAUAUCAUCUAGUAAAUAAAGUGUCUCUGAGCUCAUGGGAUCUUCUGGUGUUUUUUUUUUUUUUUUUUUUAAUUCUUGAAUAAAUCAGCUCAAAUGAGACUUUAAAUAGUUACUUGAUGAGAAUGAGCUGUAAGAUCUACAGCAGCAAACACCAACAAAACUGACGAUCAUGACACGGGUCAGAAAACAGUUGAAUGUGAUUUAUCCUGGAUAAAUAAAUGAGCUUUAAGACUCAUCAAACAUCAUGAGUUUCAGAGCAGAUGAGAAGAAGUUCGGUCAGGAGUUCACGAGACUGAGGAGUUUGAGGAUGUUUGCUUGUUACAGAGACUAACUAGUUGACUGAACAAGAUCGCAUGAUGCUUUCAGUCAGCUGUGAUUGUUUUCUGUGUUUGCAAAGUUUUGUGGGUUUAAGACAAUCUAAGUCUACAAAAAACACCCAUGAUAAAAGAAAGACCAGUGGUCUGGGUGUCAGUCCUUCAUGUCAAGACCCCUGGUUUGAAUCUCACUCUUAAACAUUUUUACUUUGUUUUUGAUUGAAUAAAUCAGACAAAACUCAAAACAAUGAGAAGUGCAUAAGUGCCAGGGGCGCAGCGGUCUGAACAUCAGUUAUUGACGUGGGUGAUCCUGAUUCUAAUCUCUCUCUUGAUGUGGAAAAUUAGAUUUGUUUCACUGGUUUUUGAAUGAAUAGAAAAGACACCCCCCAAAAAAAAAAAAAAGUUUCACUGGUUUUUCAUUGGAAAAAAGGAGAAAAAAUCCCAAAAAAAGGCUAUAAGUGUGAAAGGGCCAGUGGUGCAGUGGUCUGAACGUCAACCCUUGAUGUAGGAAGGCCUGGUUCGAAUCCCUCUCUUGAGGUAGAAAAAUUGUUUAGUUUCACUGUUUUUUCAAUGAAAAAAAACAGACAAAAAUCCAAAAAAAAGAGCUGGGAGUGAGAGCGGACUAGUAGUGCAGUGGUCUGAACAUCAGCCCUUGAUGUGGGAAGUCCUGGUUCAAAUCUCUCUCUUGAGGUGAAAAAUUGUUUAGUUUCACUGUUUUUACAAUGAAAAAAACAGACAAAAAUACAAAAAAAAAAAAAAAAAAAAAGGAGCAGAGAGCUGCAACGGAUAAGUGUUGCAGCGGUCUGGACAUCAGCCCUUGACGUGGGAAUUCCUGGUUCAAAUCCCUCUCUUGAGGUAGGAAGUUUGUUUAGUGUCACUGGUUUUUCAAUGAAAAAAAAAAAG